rnacentral:misc_RNA from 1 species
UCCGGUUUGGCACCGGCAGUCUUCCUAGAGUCCCCGGCAUUACCCGCUGGCAACAUGGAACAGGGGUUGCGCUCGUUGCGCCACUUAAGGCAACACCUCACGGCACGAGCUGACGACGGCCAUGCAACACCUGUGCGGGCUCCCGAAGGAGGACCUGCUUUCGCAGGCCUCACCCCGCAUGUCAAGCCCUGGUAAGGUUCUUCGCGUCGCGUCGAAUUAAGCCACAUGCUCCGCCGCUUGUGCGGGCCCCCGUCAAUUCCUUUGAGUUUCAACCUUGCGGUCGUACUCCCCAGGCGGGGUACUUCCUGCGUUAGCGCCGGCACCCAGAGGGUCGCUCCCCCAGGCACCUAGUACCCAUCGUUUACGGCGUGGACUAC